UACAGAGGUCUCAAGCGUUGUUCGGAUUCAUUGGGCGUAAAGGGUGCGUAGGUGGCGAGGUUAGUCAGGUGUGAAAUCUCGGGGCUCAACCCCGAAACUGCACUUGAUACUGCCUUGCUAGAGUACUGGAGAGGAGAUUGGAAUUUACGGUGUAGCAGUGAAAUGCGUAGAUAUCGUAAGGAAGACCAGUGGCGAAGGCGAAUCUCUGGACAGUUUACUGACACUGAGGCACGAAGGCCAGGGGGAGCAAAACGGGG
rnacentral:rRNA from 1 species